rnacentral:rRNA from 1 species
GAUGAACGCUGGCGGCGUGCCUAACACAUGCAAGUCGAACGGAGUCGUUUUGGAAAUCUCUUCGGAGAUGGAAUUCUCGACUUAGUGGCGGACGGGUGAGUAACGCGUGAGCAAUCUGCCUUUAAGAGGGGGAUAACAGUCGGAAACGGCUGCUAAUACCGCAUAAAGCAUUAAAUUCGCAUGUUUUUGAUGCCAAAGGAGCAAUCCGCUUUUAGAUGAGCUCGCGUCUGAUUAGCUAGUUGGCGGGGUAACGGCCCACCAAGGCGACGAUCAGUAGCCGGACUGAGGGGUUGAACGGCCACAUUGGGACUGAGACACGGCCCAGACUCCUACGGGAGGCAGCAGUGGGGAAUAGUGCGCAAUGGGGGAAACCCUGACGCAGCAACGCCGCGUGAUUGAAGAAGGCCUUCGGGUUGUAAAGAUCUUUAAUCAGGGACGAAACAAAUGACGGUACCUGAAGAAUAAGCUCCGGCUAACUACGUG